CAAGGUCACUCCAAAUCAAACAUAGGUCUAAGUUCUAAGUCCAAAGUCCAAAGUUUUCAACAUGACUCCAAGUCAAGCAUGGGUCUUAAAGAUCAAGUAUAUCCAUUUUAUCAUGUUUUGAUUCAUUGAGAUUGUCAAGCAAACCAAGCACAAGACAAGAAGCAUAAGAUAAACAAGAUAAACAAGAAAAGAUGAAUAAUGUAUGAAGGUAGAUGAUGAAUAAUGAGACAUAAAAGUAAAUUGUAUAAAGUAAAUGUUAGGAGGUUAGAUGUAAUAAGUUAUUGAUUAUGAGGCAAGCAAUGUAUGUGGCAAUCAUGUUAGAUUGUUGAUACAAAAUCAAACUCUCAAUGCAUGAAGCACAAUUGUUCAAAACUCAAAGAAGAAAGAAGAGGACAAAGGGAAAAAUGAAAGAAAGCUUAAGUUCUUGACUUAGGAUCCAC
rnacentral:lncRNA from 1 species